rnacentral:rRNA from 1 species
AUGCACGCUGGCGGCGUGCCUAAUACAUGCCAGUCGAGCGAACAGACGAGGAGCUUGCUCCUCUGACGUUAGCGGCGGACGGGUGAGUAACACGUGGAUAACCUACCUAUAAGACUGGGAUAACUUCGGGAAACCGGAGCUAAUACCGGAUAAUAUAUUGAACCGCAUGGUUCAAUAGUGAAAGACGGUUUUGCUGUCACUUAUAGAUGGAUCCGCGCCGCAUUAGCUAGUUGGUAAGGUAACGGCUUACCUAGGCGACGAUGCGUAGCCGACCUGAGAGGGUGAUCGGCCACACUGGAACUGAGACACGGUCCAGACUCCUACGGGAGGCAGCAGUAGGGAAUCUUCCGCAAUGGGCGAAAGCCUGACGGAGCAACGCCGCGUGAGUGAUGAAGGUCUUCGGAUCGUAAAACUCUGUUAUUAGGGAAGAACAAAUGUGUAAGUAACUAUGCACGUCUUGACGGUACCUAAUCAGAAAGCCACGGCUAACUACGUG